CCCACUACCCACAAACCUCACCUCUCCUCCCUCAUCAAAACCCGAAAAAUUUGCUGACCGAAGAGACCGAAGCUCUUCACUGGUGAGGCUCACUCCGUCGCCGGUAGGCUGUCACUCCACUUGAUCAAGUUUCUAGAUCUUCUCACAGGUUUUUCUCCUUCACCAGGAACCAACCAAGCCCUAAAUUACGAAUUAGUACCAUCCAUCCAACAAUGGCUUCCGAAUGAGAUGCAAAUUGUUGUAAGGUAGAGAAAGCUUGGAGAGCCAGUUGGUGACACACUACUUGGAAAAACAA